rnacentral:rRNA from 1 species
GGAGUCUAGCAUGUGCGCGAGUCAUUGGGACACGCUAAGCCCAGAGGCGCAAUGAAAGUGAAGGUCCGCCUCGCGCGGACCGAGGGAGGAUGGGCCGACCCGCGGGACGGCCCCGCACUCCCGGGGCGUCUCGUUCUCAUCGCGAGAAGAGGCGCACCCAGAGCGUACACGCUGGGACCCGAAAGAUGGUGAACUAUGCCUGGUCAGGACGAAGUCAGGGGAAACCCUGAUGGAGGUCCGUAGCGAUUCUGACGUGCAAAUCGAUCGUCGGAACUGGGUAUAGCGGCGAAAGACCAAUCGAACCAUCUAGUAGCUGGUUCCCUCCGAAGUUUCCCUCAGGAUAGCUGGCGCUCGCCGUGUGCGAGUCUCAUCCGGUAAAGCGAAUGAUUAGAGGCAUUGGGGUCGAAACGGCCUCAACCUAUUCUCAAACUUUAAAUGGGUGAGAUCUCCGGCUUGCUUGAAACGUGAAGCCGCGAGAUUUCGGAUCAGAGUGCCAAGUGGGCCACUUUUGGUAAGCAGAACUGGCGCUGUGGGAUGAACCAAACGCAGAGUUAAAGCGCCUAAAUCGACGCUUAUGGGAUACCAUGAAAGGCGUUGGUAACUUAAGACAGCAGGACGGUGGCCAU